GUCGAAAUCCGCUAAGGAGUG
rnacentral:snRNA from 1 species